rnacentral:rRNA from 1 species
GACGAACGCUGGCGGCGUGCUUAACACAUGCAAGUCGAACGGAAAGGCCCUGCUUUUGUGGGGUGCUCGAGUGGCGAACGGGUGAGUAACACGUGAGUAACCUGCCCUUGACUUUGGGAUAACUUCAGGAAACUGGGGCUAAUACCGGAUAGGAGCUCCUGCUGCAUGGUGGGUGUUGGAAAGUUUCGGCGGUUGGGGAUGGACUCGCGGCUUAUCAGCUUGUUGGUGGGGUAGUGGCUUACCAAGGCUUUGACGGGUAGCCGGCCUGAGAGGGUGACCGGCAACAGUGGGACUGAGAUACGGCACAGACUCCUACGGGAGGCAGCAGUGGGGAAUAUUGCACAAUGGGCGGAAGCAUGAUGCAGCAACGCCGCGUGCGGGAUGACGACCUUCGUGUUGUAAACCGCUUUCGCCUGUGACGAAGCGUGAGUGACGGUACUGGGUAAAGAAGCACCGGCUAACUACGUG